ACAAAAAAAUAUAUGAUGAUAAAGGUUUGCUUAUGAGUGAGGGUAACCGAGCCGAUGGAGCGUGGUCAAACAAAAAAGCCCAAAUAACGCACGAGGUAUAGAGGAAAUUAACGACCGACCACCUCAUCCGUAGAGAGAACAGACUGAGACCACAGAGAGGGGCAUUAAUGGUGGGUAACCAUACCAUUAAAUUCCUUUUGUGGGGAAAAGGAAAAACCUGGAAAAGAUGGAAGGGAGUGAAGGCAAUGGCCUUUUCUUUCAUUAAUUUAUCUUGUAUUACUAGGUGGUGGACCUUUUUGUUGUUUCAAGAAGGGGGUGAGUAGUGGUGAGAUAAGGUAAGGAGCUCUCAACAGUGCUUUCAGGCUGAUGCUCGAAUUUAAUGACCACCCAUUUCUCCUCCUUCUAUGCCUAUUGCAUACACUAGUAGAUCAGUCUACAUCUCCGUGAGAAACAAUGGAACAUCCCUCCCUUCCAAAGUUAUUAGCUUGAAAACUAAAUUCCCAUGGAAGGUGCAAUGUUGGGCUUUCGAAGAGGAUAGCAUCCGCCAUACCUUGUGUAGCCACCAUAUAUAAAAGUAUGGGCAAAGUGAACCCCAAACACUAACAUAGAUUUCUGUCAUAUAUGGCUGCGAAACGAUGAAAGAGAUUGUUUAAAAUUGAUAAGUAUAUAUCAACAUUCGCUGGGUGUGGUGGCUACUGAUUUUGAGGAUCUUUUGGUUUGUGAGCAACACCAUACCAAAUUUAAUCCUCAGUAUUGUCCCCAAAUAUAUGUGAAUGUAUGAAAGGGAUGACACUCUUCAAUCUUCUAUAUUGAGUGCA